GUGAGGAAUAUUGGUCAAUGGGCGGGAGCCUGAACCAGCCAAGUCGCGUGAAGGAAGAAGGAUCUAUGGUUCGUAAACUUCUUUUGCAGGGGAAUAAAGUGCAGGACGUGUCCUGUUUUGUAUGUACCCUGAGAAUAAGGAUCGGCUAACUCCGUGCCAGCAGCCGCGGUAAUACGGAGGAUCCGAGCGUUAUCCGGAUUUAUUGGGUUUAAAGGGUGCGUAGGUGGUUUGAUAAGUCAGCGGUGAAAGUUUGCAGCUUAACUGUAAAAAUGCCAUUGAAACUGUCGGACUUGAGUGUAAAUGAGGUAGGCGGAAUGCGUGGUGUAGCGGUGAAAUGCAUAGAUAUCACGCAGAACUCCGAUUGCGAAGGCAGCUUACUAAGCUACAACUGACACUGAAGCACGAAAGCGUGGGGAUCAAGCAGGAUUAGAAACCCCAGUAGUCC
rnacentral:rRNA from 1 species